UUAAAAAGCUCGUAGUUGAACCUUGGGCCUGGCUGGCCGGUCCGCCUCACCGCGUGUACUGGUCCGGCCGGGCCUUUCCCUCUGUGGAACCCCACGCCCUUCACUGGGUGUGGCGGGGAAACAGGACUUUUACUGUGAAAAAAUUAGAGUGCUCCAGGCAGGCCUAUGCUCGAAUACAUUAGCAUGGAAUAAUAGAAUAGGACGUGUGGUUCUAUUUUGUUGGUUUCUAGGACCGCCGUAAUGAUUAAUAGGGACAGUCGGGGG
rnacentral:rRNA from 1 species